rnacentral:rRNA from 1 species
UACGAAGGGAGCUAGCGUUGUUCGGAAUUACUGGGCGUAAAGGGCGCGUAGGCGGCUUGGCAAGUUGGAUGUGAAAGCCCAGGGCUCAACCCUGGAAUUGCAUUCAAGACUGCCUUGAUUGAAUUCGGUAGAGGUUGGUGGAAUUCCCAGUGUAGAGGUGAAAUUCGUAGAGAUUGGGAAGAACACCCGUGGCGAAGGCGGCCAACUGGACCGACAUUGACGCUGAGGCGCGAAAGCGUGGGGAUCAAACAGG